UCCCUGGUGGCUCAGAGGGUAAAGCGUCUGCCUGCAAUGCAGGAGACCUGGGUUCGAUUCCUGGGUUGGGAA
rnacentral:tRNA from 1 species